AGGCAUUCCUAGUAGCCUUAAGACUUCUCCCCCACUGAGAUGCCCACGGCAUUCACCCAAAGGGCCAAAGUCAUUCAGGAAGUAUGUCUGAGAGUCUGUGUGCCCAAGACCUCCACUCCUCCCACAUCUCAACCACUGGCUCUGUGGUGACCCAGCAAGAGAAGAGAGCAGCUCUUAGCAGUGGGGAGUUUCUAGGAAGUACUCUGUGAUGUCCCAGGCCGAAGGCUGUGAAAAGAGGUCCCAGGGAUCAAGCUCAGGUUGCCUGACAGGCUUGGCCACAGCACCUUUACUAGCUGAGUCACCUUACAGUCCCAGAAUACUGCAUUCUCAUAGCAUUAACAGACUGAGACCAGCAGAUGCAAAAUCUGCUGUAAGUAUGGCCAGGAAGUCACACAGAAGCAGCCAGCUUCGCUGCAUCCUGAGAGAAACACAUCAGGAUCACAAGUGAGGAGGACGGUGAUCGAUUUCUCUCAGUCAAUGGCACUACACAGGGAGCAUUUACCCCUCGGGAUGGGGCAGGACAGCAAACAGUAAGGAUCAUCUGCUGCGUCCAGCA